UCUAAGUUUGCAUGCUGUAUACAUUAAUUUGAAUUGAAGUUCAUGUACUAUAAUUCAAACAUGAUGCAUUUUAUAUCCAUUUUAGAUGCAUCAUUCAAUCAUUCCAUGUGGUGGAAAGCCUGCAGUGGAACGCUGCACAACAUGCUGCAGUCAGUUCCACUGCCCCCUUUGUCCCAAAGGCAUGUUUAAACCAAGCCAACCAGCCAGACUUCAGCGGCAUUUGGAGGUCCACAUGAAAAAUGCCAUUGCAUUUGAAGGAAGAAGAGCAGUAGGCUGAGGUCUCAGUCAGACCUGCCGACGUGGACACACCAGUGGAAGGGGACUCGGUUGAAGAUCGCGUUCUUUGCGAUUGCAGACAUGUAGCAGAGUGGGUUGAGGCCAAAAAACAACUGUUCUCUGCCAAAGUGGACCUGCCUGAUAUUCUGUACAUCGGGGAGGAGAACCAGGCUGAGGCUGCUCUGCAGUAUGGGAGGGUGUGGAAAGAUCAAGUAGAUGACCAUGAAAAGGAAUCAGUCCUGGAGCCCUUCAAAUUCACAUUUUACACACUGAGGACGUGGAAAUUCUGUGAGGAAAUAAUGGACAAAAGAAAAUAAUUUGGCCUAUUGUGAAUGUCACACAGAUGAGUGAGUUUGUGUUUGAGAA